GGUUGUUAACAUGACGUUGCCAUGCAUUCUAACACAUCCUGCUAUCUAAGAGAUGCUUAAUACAAUACAGCCCUUAACUGCGGUGCCGCUGGGUCUGUAGCCUAACUUCCCGGUCUGCAUUUUUAUUUUCUUGAACUCCCUCGGAUGGAUUUACUGGAGACAGCCCUUCUCUCCUCCUGGCCCCUAGACUGCAGCUGGUGAGGGAUGGGCUCUGAUUCAUGAACAUUACACUGGGGCACAUGAUCCUAAAGUCAUGUCUCAGAGUUUGGAGAGCUGUGGAACAACUUGGAGAUGUCAGAAAUCCAGAGGUCACCUUACAAGAGGAAGUUGUGGUUCAGCACGGCUCCAGCAGGCCUUAACGGAAAGAGUGCCUGUUCAUGAGUGGGUGAUGGAGUGGGUCAGAGGAGGAAGAGCAGCCAGGGCAGCAGCUAUGGACGGGCCAGCCAGCUGGGCUCUGGAUCAAAGAAGGUUUUGUAAGGGAGAGGAGAAAGUCUGCCUCCUCCAGUUUUGGUGAAUCUCAGGUGUACUUUCCAAGAGAACCCGCAUCCCUUCCAGCUGAUCAUCCGAGAAGCUGAGAAUUUAGCAGGGAAAGGAAGCAGAAACCAGAGACCUAGUCUGCCAGGUGGGGCCUUAGGGGUGGUGAUGGACUGACUGACAGCUCUGGAAAGCUGAGACCUACAGGCUGACUUUAUCCAAUGGAAUCAUGGGCAAAGAACAUGGUCAAGGUGCAUCCAGUCCCCCUCCUCCACUACAACGCAGAAUUCUCUUCAAAGCCUCACGUGGUGACCAGAGGCCUACUACCCCCACAGAUGAUCAUAACCGCUUCUUGCUCCUCAUAUUUAUUUUCUUCAGCUCCCUGUAAUGAAUUUACUGGGGUAAACACUGAGUCAACUCUUCCCUUACCUACCACUGGCUGGUUUUAGUAAUCUCAAGUGCAUGGGUGACGGUUAUCUCUAAUAGUUUGCUUGACACAACCUAGAACCCUCGUGUCAUGGACUGGGUGGGAGUAGAGAGAGUGGUGUGAGGACUAGGCAUGCACGGGUUUCUUUUCUCUUUAUUCUUGACUGUGGAUGUGACUAGCUGCUUUGAGUCUCUGUCCUCGUGACUUCCCGGCAAAGGCGGACUACACUACAGAACUGUGAGAUGUAAGAAUUCCUCUCCUCCUGUACGUUGCCUUUGGCCAGGAUAUUUAUCACAGCAACAAAAUCGAAGCUUGACAACGUGACACCCUUUCCCACACUCUCAUUUAGCAUGCUGAUAACAUUGCUUAUGUCUUUGGCCUGCCUUCCUAGUCCCUGGCUUCACUUAGCUCGUACAGAUCUCAAAGUCUAUGGUAUUAGUCCUGGUUUUUCUGUCCCCAGAUAGACUUGCCAUGGUCAGUUGUUGUCCUUUGAAUAAGAAAUGUCUCCCACAGGCUCAUGAGUGCAUUUGAAUACUUGCCAAAGCAUACUCAUCAUCCUUUAAGUUUCUGCUCAUCAUGUCUGUGGUUACAACAAUGAGAUAAGAAACUGCCACAGGAUACAGACACCACCAGCCCCUCCCCAGCUGGUCCUUCAAUACUUAGUUAUUUCAAGAAACCAUUUUAUUUUUGUAACAGUAUUUUUUUUAUAUAUUACGUGACUCCAGUUGUGAGUGUGUAUGCGUGUGAGCGCUUGCAUGCAGGUGUCUAUCAUGGCGAGCGUGUGGAGGUUGGAGGACAGAUUGCAGGGCUCACAUUCCCCUCUUCUACCGUGUGGGUCCUGGGGAUGGAGCACAGGUUGAAGGGGAGUGGUUCCGAUGCUUUGAUUUUAGUUGGGAAUCUGUGUGGCCAUAUGAUAAAGGUCCUUGUCACCAAUUGAUUUUUGAUUGAUCAAUAAAUUGUCAACAGCCAA